ACUUUAUAAAUUAAGUAGUGAGUAGUUUAGGAUUUUAUCUUUAAAUUUCUUUUCAUUAGUCUGAUUUUUUAUU